rnacentral:rRNA from 1 species
UACGAAGGGGGCUAGCGUUGCUCGGAAUUACUGGGCGUAAAGCGCACGUAGGCGGCUUUCUAAGUCGGGGGUGAAAUCCUGGAGCUCAACUCCAGAACUGCCUUCGAUACUGGAAAGCUCGAGUCCGGGAGAGGUGAGUGGAACUGCGAGUGUAGAGGUGAAAUUCGUAGAUAUUCGCAAGAACACCAGUGGCGAAGGCGGCUCACUGGCCCGGUACUGACGCUGAGGUGCGAA